GGAGGAAUCGCUACAGCUGACCCUGCCUCGGCUUUCCUUCAGGACAAAUGUUGGGACAGUACCUUCACAGCACAGUGGCCUGAAGAGACCUAGCUCUGGGGAUGGGGGAAUCCAGCGCAGGCCAGAGGGCCAGGGCAGGCCAGAGGGCCAGGGCAGGCCAGGCAGCAACCAGCACCUCGGUCCCUGUGCUGGAUACACAAGGGCUGGGUCCACUUUCCCACCCACCAGGGGCGUGAGACUGUGUGCAUCCCGGCUGCACCACACACCUGCUGUGUGACCAGGCGCAGGUUUGGCAGCCUCUCUGUUUGAGCAUGUCUGAGAGGUGUGCCGAGAUUCCCAGAGGCAAGAUGAUGAAUGGGUGUCCCUCCAGAACAGAGCAACCACGAGAACCUGAUCCCGGGACGAGUCACACACCGAGGAGGACCAGGACUGGGCCACCUGGCAGCCAGGAGGGGAGAGCACUCUGGAGAACAAAUCUGCCCAGGAUUCCUAGAGGGGGUCCAGUCCUCAGUGACAAUCAGCAGAGUGAUGUUAGAGCCCACAGGAAGACUCCACUGCCAUCUGUGUUCAGUAAGCAAGCACGGUGAGCCAGAGCCAAAUGACAAACACGGCUGUGACCAUUUUCCAGAGGCCCAGGAUCUGUGAGGACAGGGGUGAUGAGGACAAUCAUAAACAUAAUCUGGUG